CCAGACCCUGGACCAGUUCACACCAUGACCCCACAGAGAUUCCGGAGGCUCACAGUCUCUACCGCGGCUAGUGCAUGGCGUGGAUGACCUUUGUUCAAACAGCAGGAUCUUGGGUUGUGAGAAUUUCUGCUGCUUCACCGAACCCCGUGUCACCGUGUCCCAGCUGAAGCAGGGCCAGGAAACUAUAUGACUAGAGGCAGCUCGGUUUUGUGAGUAGAGGCUGAAAUUCUCACUACAGCCUCUGUUCUAUGCAGAUCCCCGCUCUGGUCCUGCAUCCUGUCCUUUCCUGCACAGCCUGUAACUUCACUUCUGGAGGAUGCUAUAGAACAUCAAACAUUCCGAUUGUUUGUUCGGCUCAGCUCUGAUCUUGCUGACUCAUUAAGCACUUGGCAAGUCGACAACAUUGCUGGCUGUGAGUUCUUAGUUCAAGUUACCCUCCUGAAGCUCU
rnacentral:lncRNA from 1 species